GAAGAUCGGAGAAGAGAGUACUUACGUUGGACAUAAAGCCGCCAUUAUUAGAACUUGUGCCGGUUGCCAAGUACUUGACUGGUGUGCUUUUUCUAGCCCCGCAACGAUGCGUUUGCAUUCGUCGAUGCGAUGCGUUCUCGGCUUCGCAGAAUAUCCGGCUCGCUCGUCCUUCUCUGUCUCGUCUUCUAUCUUUUUCUUUUCUCUGUUUCUGUCUCUUUCUCUUUCUUUCUCUCUUUCUUUCUCUUUCCCUCUCUAUCUCUCUCUUUCUCGUGGGCGCGUGGUUUCGUCGUUUUCCUCGUCCAUGUGCUCGCCAGUUGCAACGCGUACCGCGUACCAAACGAAUGCACUUUUGAUUAGACCUUAAUUAGAAAGAAUUUCCUCCUUUAGUUUAAUCCAGCGAUGUUUCCAAGUCGUAGUUUUCACAAAUUACGAUUCCCUAUUUCUCUCUCUCUUUCUCUCGCUCUAUCUUUUUUUAUUUAUUUAUUUUUUUUAUUUAUUUUUUCCCCUCCCAUAAAUUAUAUCCGGAGAUUUUCCAUUGAAAUCGUUUGAAAAACUAUCCAGUUGUUUCACGUAUUGAUCCAUGACUCCACUUGUUUCCUCUACCGAGAACAAUUUUAACGAAGAAUGAUUUCACCCGUUAAGAUUUGAUAGAUCUGAUACGUCAUAUCGUAUCAUUCAUUGUCAUUCAGUGUCAGUUGUUGUCAUUGCCGUCAAAGUCAUUCUAUUCGUAUGUGUUAACGUUUUGUAAAAUUGACUGACUUUAUAUAUAUAUAUAUAUAUAUAUGUGAGUAUGUGUGUGUGUAUAUAAUACAUACUAUUCGAUGUCGUUGGUACACGCUCGUUAAUAUUCACCGUAAUUCGCUUUAUUCAACAACUAGUACUUCGGCCAAAGUUUAACGAGUGCGAGCGUAUAAAGAGUCGAGUGGCGAAAGGAGUGUAGUUGAAAUUAUUAAACGUUCGAGUGUUUCCGACAUAACGCGCGAGCGUUAUUUAGCCAGUGGAAAAACGAUUUGCCCGUAUAAAUUGUGAUUUUCUAUGUUUCUCUCUUAUUCUCUCUUAUUCCCUCUUUCUCUCUCUUUCCCUUUCUGUCUCUUUCUCUUUCUGUCUCUUUCUCUCUCUCUCUCGUGGGUGUAUAGGUAUACGUAAAAUUUUAUCAUGCGUUUCGAGUAUCACGGAGAAAGAUAGAGAUAGAGAUAGAGGGAGAGAAAGAGAGAGAAAAAGAGAGAGAGAAGGAGAGAGAGUAGGAGAGAGAGAGAGAGAGAGAGCGAGUCUGUGCGAAAGCAACCGUACGGAAUUUAAUUAAUGUGACAAGGUGCAAGCAUGCCACAAUCGAAACUCUCGAGUUUACUAGUAACGACCUGGUUGCUCGGUACGAUAGCCUGUAAAUCGCGCGUCGACGAGCUCAUUCAAAGUUUCAUCGAAUAUGAGAUCAUUUAUCCGAGAAUAAUAACGGAUAAUCUAUCCUCAUCGUUACGUGAUCAUCGAUUACCAUUCGAAAAUCAUUCGAGGAAUCUACAGGAGGAAACGACGAUCUACGUUAUUAUUAAAAAUUGGACGUUGAGAACUACGAUCAAUGAUCGAUUAAUACUUUCGAAGGAUCUUCAUUUACGAGGAGGAAAAUAUUUCAAUAAAAAUUUCGACUGUGAUCUAAGACACGGAAUCGUCGAAAACAAUGAAAAUAUUUCGUCUGUUGUUUUAACGAUUUGUUUGGAUGAAAUUUAUGCAUUUAUCAUUAUCGAUGGUAGAUCCUACUUCGUUGAACCAUUGACGAAUGGCCGGCAUAUAUUUUACGAAUCGAAUAAUACCGGAUGGUGGUCGUCAUCGAAAAAAUCGUCGAGAAAUUUUGGUCCAUCGAUCGAAAUUUUCCCUUUGUAUUAUACCAAGAAAAAGGAUGAAUCAAGAAAUUUUACAAGACGAUUGAAACGAGAAAUUCCAAGCAUUAAAAGUAAUAAUGGAUUUUAUAAUCUCACCGGAGAUGUCUUUGACAUGGAAAAUUUUGAUCUCGGUGUUGAGGACAAUGAGGAUUUCUUGAAAAAGGAUGAGGACGUUAUGAUCGAACGAUUGCCACAAAGGAAUGAUCCCGAAGAUGUCGGUUAUUUUUCUAAUCCAUCUUGGAGCAGAAGCAAAAAAGGAAACAAUUGCCACGACGAUGGUUGGAGGUUGCAAUUGCUGUAGAUUAUUCCGUCAUUGAGUUUCACGGUCCACGUGUUCAACAAUACGUUCUGGCAUUACUCAAUAUUGUCAGUGCCAUUUUUAGAGAUCCUUCUCUCGACUCGAAUAUGAUUCUCGUCGUUGCUCGUGUAAUCCUUUAUAAGGAAAAAAAGGACAGUUUG